rnacentral:rRNA from 1 species
AUUCCAGCUCCAAUAGCGUAUAUUAAAGUUGUUGCAGUUAAAAAGCUCGUAGUUGAACUUCUGGCUAUUCUUGCAGCUGGCUUCGGUCGCUGUCAGAGUGGUCAUCCGCUUGGGAACUACGUUCGAACUUCACUGUUCGGCGUAGGGAACAGGCAUUUUACUUAGAAAAAAUUAGAGUGUUCAAGGCAGGCUAUCGCCCUGAAUACACAAGCUUGGAAUAAUGAAAUAGGACUAUUUCCAUUUUAUUGGUUAUUGGAAUUAGUAUGAUUAAUAGGGACAGUUGGGGACAUUAGUAUUUAAUUGUCAGAGGUGAAAUUCUUGGAUUUAUUAAAGACUAACUUAUGCGAAAGCAUUUGUCAAGGAUGUUUUCAUCA